rnacentral:SRP_RNA from 1 species
GCCAGGCGUGGUGGCUCACGCCUGUAAUCCCAGCACUUCGGGAGGCUGAGGCGGGUGGAUCACCUGAGGUCAGGAGUUCGAGACCAGCCUGGCCAACAUGGUGAAACCCCGUCUCUA